rnacentral:rRNA from 1 species
GUUGUAUGGUUAAGUGACUAAGCGUACACGGUGGAUGCCUGGGCAGUCAGAGGCGAUGAAGGACGUACUAACUUGCGAUAAGCGCAGAUAAGGCAGUAAGAGCCGUUUGAGUCUGCGAUUUCCGAAUGGGGAAACCCAACUGCAUAAGCAGUUACUGUUAACUGAAUACAUAGGUUAACAGAGCAAACCGGGGGAACUGAAACAUCUAAGUAC